CUCUCUCUCUCUCUCUCUCGUCGGAGUGCAUGCUGGGAGUGAGUCGUCAAGCAGGAGUGAUUGUGAGAGCUAAUGGAAUUUCUUUUCACUCUAUUGGGUUUUGACCUGAGCCCUAGGACCAUGCCCCAGGACUACCUGACAUGAUGACUCCUUGCUGUCCCCAGUCCACCUGGCCAUGCUGCUGCUCCAGUUUCAACUGUUCUGCCUUACUAUUAUUCGACCAUGCUGGUCAUUUAUGAACAUUUGAACAUCUUGGCCAUGUUCUGUUAUAAUCUCCACCCGGCACAGCCAGAAGAGGACUGGCCACCCCACAUAGCCUGGUUCCUCUCUUAGGUUUCUUCCUAGGUUUUGGCCUUUCUAGGGAGUUUAUCCCAGCCACCGUGCUUCUACACCUGCAUUGCUUGCUGUUUGGGGUUUUAGGCUGGGUUUCUGUACAGCACUUUGAGAUAUCAACUGAUGUACGAAGGGCUAUACAUUUGAUUUGAUUUGUUGCGGCUCCCCAGAGGAUCCACGAUAGUCACAUCUCUCUCCUGUGUGAACAACAAAAACAUACAGAUGAUUAAAGGCCCACAACAGCAGAAAUCCACUGUUUUAUUUGAGGUAAAAGGUGAUGCCUAGAGAGUACCCAUGCAGUUGUACAACAAUUGACGUCUGUUAAAUUGUUUUACAAUUGUCUUAAGACAGUCAAGCAGUGUGCCAGAUGACUUUUGGUCUGCAAAAAAGGCCUCUUUCUGUGUUUGCUCAAAUUGCGGCACGAGGGCAAUGCACACUCAAUUUAAUUGCAGAAACACCUCCCUGCUAAUGAGGAAACCGCUAGUUAUGGAUGCAGUAUAUCUGUUAAUGAGGAAACCACUAGUUAUGGAUGUCGUACAUCUGCUAAUGAGCAAACUACUAGAGUUAUGGAUGUAGAAUAUCUGCCUGGAACAAAAAUGGUGAACACUAUCAUCGCAGAUCAGGAUGCUAAAAUCAAGGAAACUCACAUUAAGUUCUGUGUCGCUAUUUUACUAAUUCACCACCACGGAGGAAAACUCAGGGGAGUUCUCAUAGGCUGACAGCAAAAAUAGCCUCCAUUUCCUGGUUGCUUAUGAGUGCAUUUUACAUUGCUUUGGAUAAAUGUAAGGCUCGUUUGAAUGUCCUGAUGAAUUUGUUUGUGUUUUUGUCAAAUGUACUACUUCAUAUAUUUAAAAACACUUCAAUCAAUACAAUGCUCGUUGGCUCCAUCAGCCGGACAAUGAGGGUUUGUACACAAAGUGUUAAACAAAUUGACUCAUAACUUGACCUAACAACAACAUAGACCUACUGAAGAACCCAUAACUUCACCUAACAAUAACAUAGAUCUAAACAAAUUGCCAAAAUGGUCUAUAAUCUAACCUAACAAUAUCAUAGACCUACUGUGGGACCCAUAACUGCAUCUAACAACAUAGACCUACUGUAGGACCCAUAACUUCACCUAACAAUAACAUGGACUAUAAAUCAUUUAAUAUUUCAGGUGAAACAUGGAAAAUAAAAUGAUAGAUAAUUUUGUGAAUAAUC